rnacentral:rRNA from 1 species
AGAACGAACGCUGGCGGCAUGCCUAAUACAUGCAAGUCGAACGAACACUCUGACUUCGGUUGGGGUGUUAGUGGCGCACGGGUGCGUAACGCGUGGGAAUCUGCCCUUGGGUUCGGAAUAACAGUUGGAAACGACUGCUAAUACCGGAUGAUAUCGAAAGAUCAAAGAUUUAUCGCCCAGGGAUGAGCCCGCGUAGGAUUAGCUAGUUGGUGGGGUAAAGGCUCACCAAGGCGACGAUCCUUAGCUGGUCUGAGAGGAUGAUCAGCCACACUGGGACUGAGACACGGCCCAGACUCCUACGGGAGGCAGCAGUAGGGAAUAUUGGACAAUGGGCGCAAGCCUGAUCCAGCAAUGCCGCGUGAGUGAUGAAGGCCUUAGGGUUGUAAAGCUCUUUACCCGAGAUGAUAAUGACAGUAUCGGAGAAUAAGCCCGGACUAACUCCGUAGCCAGCAGCCGC